UAACAACUCCAAAGACAUGUUGCUUUACCUCUUUUUACUUUGCUCUCACUUCAUAGCCCUGGGUUCCAUGAACAGCAUAACGCCAGAAAGUCCUGAAGAACAUGUUGCAGAGGGAGGAAACAUCAACCUGACCUGUAAAUAUGAGGGUGUUAUCACCAAUAUCCAGUGGUACCGACAAUACCAGAGAUCCAGACCAGAGUUCCUGCUCUCCAUCACAGAGGGAGGAUCGAUUUAUCCAACUGAUUCUGUUUUCUCAGCUCACAUUAACAAAGAGAAACGUGUGAAUCUGCAGAUCAUCUCAGCUAAAAUGACAGACUCUGCUGUGUACUACUGUGCUUUAGAAGGCAGCUCUGUUACUCUGUCCUACACAUACUCUAAAAAAGCAAAUGUUGGAGAUUAUUUCUUCUGGUAUCGACAAUAUCCAGGAAAACCACCAGGGCUCCUCAUCUCACACUCUGCUUCAGGAGCAGUAGGAAAUGAUCCAAUCCCUGGACGGUCUGCUAAAGUGAGUGAUGAUAAAACCCAAAUGGAUCUGCAGAUCUCCUCUGCUGCAGUGACAGACUCUGCUGUGUACUACUGUGCGGUGAAAAGUGGUUAA